rnacentral:rRNA from 2 species
UACGUAGGGUGCGAGCGUUAAUCGGAAUUACUGGGCGUAAAGCGUGCGCAGGCGGCUAUGUAAGACAGGUGUGAAAUCCCCGAGCUUAACUUGGGAAUUGCAUUUGUGACUGCAUGGCUAGAGUGUGUCAGAGGGAGGUGGAAUUCCACGUGUAGCAGUGAAAUGCGUAGAUAUGUGGAGGAACACCAAUGGCGAAGGCAGCCUCCUGGGAUAACACUGACGCUCAUGCACGAAAGCGUGGGGAGCAAACAGG